GAGUGGCGGACGGGUGAGUAACGCGUGGGUAACCUGCCUCAUACAGGGGGAUAACAGUUAGAAAUGACUGCUAAUACCGCAUAAGCGCACGGUUUCGCAUGGAACAGUGUGAAAAACUCCGGUGGUAUGGGAUGGACCCGCGUCUGAUUAGCUGGUUGGCGGGGUAACGGCCCACCAAGGCGACGAUCAGUAGCCGGCCUGAGAGGGCGGACGGCCACACUGGGACUGAGACACGGCCCAGACUCCUACGGGAGGCAGCAGUAGGGAAUUUUCGUCAAUGGGCGCAAGCCUGAACGAGCAAUGCCGCGUGAACGAGGAAGGUCUUCGGAUCGUAAAGUUCUGUUGAAGGGGAAAAAGAGCGGAGAGAGGAAAUGGUCUCCGAUUGAUAUUACCCUUCGAGGAAGUCACGGCUAACUACGUGCCGGCAGCCGCGGUAAUACGUAGGUGGCGAGCGUUAUCCGGAAUGAUUGGGCGUAAAGGGUGCGUAGGCGGCCUGCUAAGUCUGGAGUGAAAGGUACCGGCUCAACCGGUACAGGCUCUGGAAACUGGCGGGCUAGAGAGCAGGAGAGGGCGGUGGAACUCCAUGUGUAGCGGUAAAAUGCGUAGAUAUAUGGAAGAACACCAGUGGCGAAGGCGGCCGCCUGGCCUGUUACUGACGCUGAGGCACGAAAGCGUGGGGAGCAAAUAGGAUUAGAUACCCUAGUAGUCCACGCCGUAAACGAUGAGGGCCCAGCGUUGGGGGAGACCCCGUGCUGCAGUUUUACGCAGUGAGUCUUCCGCCUGGGGAGUAUGCACGCAAGUGUGAAACUCAAAGGAAUUGACGGGGGGCCGCGCAAGCGGUGGAGUAUGUGGUUUAAUUUGAAGCAACGCGAAGAACCUUACCAGGCCUUGACAUAGGGUGCGAAGCUAUGGAGACAUAGUGGAGGUAAACAUCCAUACAGGUGGUGCAUGGUUGUGGUCAGCUCGUGUCGUGAGAUGUUCAGUUAAGUCUGGCAACGAGCGCAACCCUCGUGAUGUGUUACCAAUAUCGAGUUAGGGACUCACAUCAGACUGCCGGUGAGAAACCGGAGGAAGGCGGGGAGGACGUCAAAUCAUCAUGCCCCUUAUGGCCUGGGGUACACACGUACUACAAUGGCGGCGACAGAGGGCAGCGAGCCUGCGAAGGCAAGCGAAUCCCCAAAAAGCCGUCCCAGUUCGGAUUGGAGUCUGCAACCCGACUCCAUGAAGUUGGAAUCGUUAGUAAUCGCGGAUCAGCAUGCCGCGGUGAAUACGUUCUCGGGCCUUGCACUCACCGCCCGUCAA
rnacentral:rRNA from 1 species